GUGUGUGUGUGUGUGGUAAAGUCCAAUGAGGUAAUGUCACACACCAUUAUUCUCAGAUGGCUGUCGUGGGUGUACACGUGUGUGUUGUGGUGGUCUCUAGGAGAUGGACUGGAGGUCGGCGCUGACGGAGCAUUGGAGCAGAGACUCUGUUUGGAUGGAUAACUCACAGGGAACCACGUCUUUCUCUGAACGCUCCACUGUCCCACUGCCCCGAAAAGAUCGGCCGGGGCAGGUGUUGUGUGGGAGGACAAAGAACAGAGGCUUGUCAUCACACUUUCCUCUGGUUGUAAAUGGCAGGCAGCGGCAUGCACAGGUGUUGCAUCGGCUGAUCGGGGGCAAAGAAAUACCACAGGCCAGGUGGAAAGACAAUGACAUGUUUCUGAUGCUCUUUCUGUACAUCAAACAUGGGACAGCUGUCUUUGAUCUUUCACACAUAUGAACUACCGGUGGCUUGAAUCCCAGAACUGGCAAAUGGAUGCUUUCUAAGACACACACACACACACACACACACACACACACACACAAACAACGAUGUGAUGCCCCAGAAACCCAAUGUAACCUACAUUUGAAAAAUAGCAGGGAAGAAAGUUUGGUCUGUAGAGUUUAGACAACUGAGCCCCUUCUUGCUAUUUGUUUUGGCCUUUUGUCACGUGAUAACGUCACGGUUUCUAAAUGUCUGUUAACUGUUCGUUAUUAUUAUCUGCAUCAACAGUAUUUUAAGGAAACAGCUAAUGGUGCAUUGAUUAUUAUCAAAGAGAGACUGAUUGACGCACAGUCCUUGCAACUUUCAAAAUGUU